GGGACGGAGUAUUUAAAACCCAUUCGAGCGGACCAAGGUCAUCGAUAACCUCUGUGUGAAUCCAAAAUUGAAAUAGAAGAUUGAAUUGGGAGUGAACGAAGAAUUGACUCGGGGGGAUGAAGAAUGCCAUUGGCAGAUAGCCUACCAUGGUACUCCAUCCCUGCCAAACGCCUUGUCUAAGCGCGGUCGUCAGAUUAUAUUCCUCCGAGCUGUGGUGAACCUGAUAGAUUGUCAUUUAUUAAACAUUACGAGGAUUUUGCUUUAAUAUUUUAAAGAAGUUCAUGCACCUGA